rnacentral:rRNA from 1 species
CGGGGAAUCUUGCACAAUGGGCGAAAGCCUGAUGCAGCGACGCCGCGUGAGGGAUGAAGGCCUUCGGGUUGUAAACCUCUUUCAGGAGGGACGAAGCGAAAGUGACGGUACCUCCAGAAGAAGCCCCGGCCAACUACGUGCCAGCAGCCGCGGUAAUACGUAGGGGGCGAGCGUUGUCCGGAUUUAUUGGGCGUAAAGAGCGCGUAGGCGGCUCAUCAAGUCGGAUGUGAAAGUCCAGGGCUCAACCCUGGGAUGCCAUUCGAAACUGAUGGGCUAGAGCAUGGCAGGGGGAUCUGGAAUACCUGGUGUAGCGGUGAAAUGCUUAGAUAUCAGGUGGAACACCGGUGGCGAAGGCGGGAUCCUGGGCCAUUGCUGACGCUGAGGCGCGAAAGCUGGGGGAGCGAACAGG